CUCAAGGUAGUAAAAGUAAUACGUUGGAGUUAAGGUUCAAAGAUGACAGUUUUGGUCCCUUGAGA
rnacentral:tRNA from 1 species